UUUCCGUAGGUGAACCUGCGGAAGGAUCAUUACCGUACACAAUGUGAGGGGCAUGCGAGGGCUGUCUCUGACCCUGAUGUCGUGCACGCUGGAGUGUGUCCUCUUGCAUAAUAAUCCAUCUCACCCUUUGUGCAUCACCGCGUGGGCACCCUUCGGGAUCAUUACGGAGGGGGGCUCGCGUUUACACACAAACCCCCCUUUUAAAAGUAUAGAAUGACAACAUAUAUGCAAUAAAUACAACUUUCAACAACGGAUCUCUUGGCUCUA
rnacentral:misc_RNA from 1 species